AGCGAUGUAACUCAGUGGUAGAGUGCUGUGCUGAUAACGCAGUGGUCGACAGUUCAAAUCUGUCCAUCGCUACCA
rnacentral:tRNA from 1 species